rnacentral:lncRNA from 1 species
GUUCGACAACAUCCGUGAGGCCGUGGAGCGCUACCCCUUCGCCGCCAUGGACACCGAGUUCCCCGGCGUCGUUCACCGCUCCCGGAAGCACCCCGCCCACCUCUCCACCGCCGAGCGGUACGCGCUGCUCAAAGCCAACGUCGACGACCUCCACCUCAUCCAAGUCGGGCUCACCCUCUCCGACGCCGCCGGCAACCUCCCCGACCUCUGCGACGACGGCGGCGUCCGCUACAUCUGGGAGUUCAACUUCAGUGAUUUCGACCUCUACCGCGACCGCUACGCCCCCGAGUCCAUCGACCUCCUCAAGUCCAACGGGAUCGACUUCGAGAAGAACCGGGCGCGGGGAAUCGACUCCCGCCAC